GACGAACGCUGGCGGCGUGCUUAACACAUGCAAGUCGAACGGAAAGGCCCGGCUUUUGUGGCGUUCUCGAGUGGCGAACGGGUGAGUAACACGUGAGUAACCUGCCCUUGACUUUGUGAUAACUUCAGGAAACUGGGGCGAAUACCCGAUAGGAUCUCCUGCUGCAUGGGGGGGGUUGGAAAGUGUCGGCGGUUGGGGAUGGACUCGCUGGUUAUCCGCUUGUUGGUGAGGUAGUGGCUUACCAAGGGUUUGACGGGUAGCCGGCCUGAGAGGGUGAACGGCCACAUUGGGACUGAGAGAGGGACCAGACUCCUACGGGAGGCAGCAGUGGGGAAUUUUGCGCAAUGGGCGGAAGCCUGAUGCAGCAACGCCGGGUGCGGGAUGACGGCUUUCGGGUUGUAAACCGAUUUCGACUGUGCCGAAGCGUGAGUGACGGUAAUGGGUAAAGAAGCACCGGCUAACUACGUG
rnacentral:rRNA from 1 species